rnacentral:rRNA from 1 species
UAAUACGGAGGGUGCAAGCGUUAAUCGGAAUUACUGGGCGUAAAGCGCACGCAGGCGGUUUGUUAAGUCAGAUGUGAAAUCCCCGGGCUCAACCUGGGAACUGCAUUUGAAACUGGCAAGCUAGAGUCUCGUAGAGGGGGGUAGAAUUCCAGGUGUAGCGGUGAAAUGCGUAGAGAUCUGGAGGAAUACCGGUGGCGAAGGCGGCCCCCUGGACGAAGACUGACGCUCAGGUGCGAAAGCGUGGGGAGCAAACAGGAUUAGAUACCCUGGUAGUCCACGCUGUAAACGAUGUCGAUUUGGAGGUUGUGCCCUUGAGGCGUGGCUUCCGGAGCUAACGCGUUAAGUUCGCCGCCUGGGAAGUACGGUCGCAAGACUG